AACGAACGCUGGCGGCAUGCCUAACACAUGCAAGUAGAACGAGACCUUCGGGUCUAGUGGCGCACGGGUGCGUAACGCGUGGGAACCUGCCCUUAGGUUCGGAAUAACUCCCCGAAAGGGGUGCUAAUACCGGAUAAUGUCUUCGGACCAAAGAUUUAUCGCCUUUGGAUGGGCCCGCGUUGGAUUAGCUAGUUGGUAGGGUAAAAGCCUACCAAGGCGACGAUCCAUAGCUGGUCUGAGAGGAUGAUCAGCCACACUGGGACUGAGACACGGCCCAGACUCCUACGGGAGGCAGCAGUGGGGAAUAUUGGACAAUGGGCGAAAGCCUGAUCCAGCAAUGCCGCGUGAGUGAUGAAGGCCUUAGGGUUGUAAAGCUCUUUUACCCGGGAUGAUAAUGACAGUACCGGGAGAAUAAGCUCCGGCUAACUCCGU
rnacentral:rRNA from 1 species